rnacentral:rRNA from 1 species
GAUGAACGCUGGCGGCGUGCCUAAUACAUGCAAGUCGAGCGAACGGACGAGAAGCUUGCUUCUCUGAUGUUAGCGGCGGACGGGUGAGUAACACGUGGAUAACCUACCUAUAAGACUGGGAUAACUUCGGGAAACCGGAGCUAAUACCGGAUAAUAUUUUGAACCGCAUGGUUCAAAAGUGAAAGACGGUCUUGCUGUCACUUAUAGAUGGUUCCGCGCUGCAUUAGCUAGUUGGUAAGGUAACGGCUUACCAAGGCAACGAUGCAUAGCCGACCUGAGAGGGUGAUCGGCCACACUGGAACUGAGACACGGUCCAGACUCCUACGGGAGGCAGCAGUAGGGAAUCUUCCGCAAUGGGCGGAAGCCUGACGGAGCAACGCCGCGUGAGUGAUGAAGGUCUUCGGAUCGUAAAACUCUGUUAUUAGGGAAGAACAUAUGUGUAAGUAACUGUGCACAUCUUGACGGUACCUAAUCAGAAAGCCACGGCUAACUACGUG